AUAUAUUUCAAAUCAAAUCAAAUUUUAUUUGCCACCUGCGCCGAAUACAACUGGUGUAGACUUCACUGUGAAAUGCUUGAUUGCAAGCCCCUAACCAACAACGCAGUUUAAAAAUAAUGGUAACAAGAGGAAUGAAAUACACAAUGGAGCUCCAUACAGGAAGUACCAGAUCAAUGUGGAGCUCCAUACAGGAAGUACCAGAUCAAUGUGGAGCUCCAUACAGGAAGUACCAGAUCAACGUGGAGCUACAUACAGGAAGUACCAGAUCAACGUGGAGCUAUAUAAAGGAAGUACCAGAUCAACAUGGAGCUAUAUACAGGAGUACCAGAUCAAUGUGCAGAGGUACGAGCUAUUUGAGGUAGAUAUGUACAUGAAGGCAGGUUAAGUGACAAGGCGUUAUAGAUAAGAUUGAAAUGAGUGUGUUCUGUGUGUGCGGGUUUUAUUUGACCAAAACAACAUGGUUGAUUUCUUCAGGGGUCCUGGUCAGUAAGGUUGAUUUCUUCAGGGGUCCUGGCCAGUAAGGUUGAUUUCUUCAGGGGUCCUGGCCAGUAAGGUUGAUUUCUUCAGGGGUCCUGGCCAGUUAGGUUGAUUUCUUCAGGGGUCCUGGUCAGUAAGGUUGAUUUCUUCAGGGGUCCUGGUCAGUAAGGUUGAUUUCUUCAGGGGUCCUGGUCAGUAAGGUUGAUUUCUUCAGGGGUCCUGGCCAGUAAGGUUGAUUUCUUCAGGGGUCCUGGCCAGUAAGGUUGAUUUCUUCAGGGGUCCUGGUCAGUAAGGUUGAUUUCUUCAGGGGUCCUGGUCAGUAAGGUUGAUUUCUUCAGGGGUCCUGGCCAGUAAGGUUGAUUUCUUCAGGGGUCCUGGCCAGUAAGGUUGAUUUCUUCAGGGGUCCUGGCCAGUAAGGUUGAUUUCUUCAGGGGUCCUGGCCAGUAAGGUUGAUUUCUUCAGGGGUCCUGGUCAGUAAGGUUGAUUUCUUCAGGGGUCCUGGUCAGUAAGGUUGAUUUCUUCAGGGGUCCUGGCCAGUAAGGUUGAUUUCUUCAGGGGUCCUGGCCAGUAAGGUUGAUUUCUUCAGGGGUCCUGGUCAGUAAGGUUGAUUUCUUCAGGGGUCCUGGCCAGUAAGGUUGAUUUCUUCAGGGGUCCUGGUCAGUAAGGUUGAUUUCUUCAGGGGUCCUGGCCAGUAAGGUUGAUUUCUUCAGGGGUCCUGGUCAGUAAGGUUGAUUUCUUCAGGGGUCCUGGCCAGUAAGGUUGAUUUCUUCAGGGGUCCUGGCCAGUAAGGUUGAUUUCUUCAGGGAUCCUGGCCAGUAAGGUUGUUGAGAAUGUAGGGCUGAUGGUGUGAUAAGAGGACUACUCUA